GGUUUUUUUUUUUUUUUUGAGAGAUAGGUAGCACACUACCGCUUCGUUUAUUUUAUUUAAAAAUAAACUUAGUUGGAAAUAUGAAUCAACUAGGAUUCGAACUUUAGUCUCGGGUACCAACCACCAAAUCAUUUACCACUUGCUCUAGGGACGAUCUGUACCACGUUGUGGUUAUUAACAUUUUAAAUAAGUUACUAUAUACACUAUAUAUGUAUGAAUUAUAAAUAAGGCUCAUGAGUUGGAAGUACCAAAAAAUUAACCUUGCUAUUUAAAUUAUUAGGGUAAAAUCAGAUCAUUUAAGAUAAGUAGUUGGUUGCUAACAUCCGUUCCCUUACAGACCUUUGGGCCUCGCACUGCUUGCGUUAGUAAUCAUAUUAGUUGGUUAUUAUUAUAUGUGUGUACUUUGUACGACACUGGUUGUGUCACGCAACCCACAGGUUAAUUGUAUCUGAGCUGCAUACUUUUUUUCUUUUUUUUUUUUUUCCUCCGAGGCCUAGUUGUCUCAACCUUAUUGCUAAAUUCAAUCUUUUAAUGAAUGAAGCGGUAGCAUGCUACCUUUCUCUCUCAAAAAAAAAAAAAAAAAAUUCAGACUAAAAAAUUUAGAUUGAAUUCGGUUAUAUUUUGAGUUAGAUCAGAUCAAUCAAUUGGGUCGAAUUAGAGUUCACCAUCAAUGGGAUUGAAGUAUCCCUGAAGCAGCAAAUUAAGAUAAUUCAUUUGACUUUCGAAGCUCCUUUAACAAACGCCAACACAAAUAUAUAUUGUACCAAUCAAUUAAUUCAAGGCAUGUGCAAGGAUUAGAUCAAGGAUAAGAUUAAGAACAUAUAAAUCAAAGCAAAAAAGUCAUCACCAAAUAAAUAAAUAAUUAGUAAGCAUUAAUUAAUUCCAUGUGCACUUAUUUUAACUCUAAACUUCACGUAUAAUUAAUUGAUUGGUACAAUGCAUAUAUAUAUAUAUAUAUAUAUAUAUAUAUAUAUAUAUAUGCACUCCUCCAAACAAACGACUGCAAAGAGAAGAGAAGAGAAAGAGAGAGAGACAUAUUUAUCACAAUGUCUUUUGUUUCGUACUCUUUAGCUCUACUUCUCGUCUCCGCCGCGGCGAUGCUCGCAACCGGGGUAGCGCAGAACUCGCCCCAGGACUUCCUGAAUCCGCACAACGCCGCCCGCGCCAGCGUCCGCGUCGGCCCCUUGCGCUGGGACAACAACCUGGCCGCAUACGCGCAAAACUAUGCCAAUCAUAGGAGCGGCGACUGCGCACUCAUCCACUCGGGCGGACCCUACGGCGAGAACAUCUUCUGGGGCAGCUCGGGGAGAAAAUGGUCGGCCGCCGACGCGGUGGCUUCGUGGGUGGCGGAGAAGCAAUUCUACGACUACCGCAGCAACACGUGCGCGUCCCGGAAAGUUUGCGGUCACUACACGCAGGUGGUGUGGGCUAAGUCGGUGAGCGUCGGCUGCGCCACCGUCACGUGCAACAACGGCGGUACGUUCAUCAUAUGCAGCUACAAUCCGCCGGGCAACGUCCAGGGACAACGGCCCUAUGACGAUUUAGAGAUUGCUUCAGAGAUUGCAUAAAACAUUACGAGUUCUGCUCUAGCAAAGAGCGCACUAAUAAAUUAAACUAUCAAGUUACUCAAUAUUCACCAUAGUUUCCUAGUUUAGUUUAUUAUAGUGCUCUUCGCAUGAGUUAAACUCAGUUACGGCAAUUAUCGCAGCAUCUUAAUUAUGUGUAAUAAAAGUGAGUUUGCACAAAGGACCAGUGAUUUGGAUGCAAGACUCAUUAAGUUGCUGUGAUAGAAAUAAGCUUUGGAGUCCAAAGCGUGCAUGUUUUCGUUGUCUUAGUCGUUUAGUUGUUGUCGUACUAAUUAAUAUUUCUUUCCCAAAUUAACUAUAAUGUUGUUAGCUACUCGAUCGGAGCUUACUUUCCCGAAUAUACUGGUGGAUUGGAUCUCAACAUGCAUGGUGGUCGGAGAUUGAGCUACGACUACUCGAAGCUUACUUUACAUUUACUAAGUUAGUUAUUACUAACACCGUGUUAGAGCAGUAAAUUCAAAGUUUGAAUCCAAUUAGGCUCCAAGUAAUUUAAUUUUUUUGUUAAUUCAAGUUCUUAUUGUAGUGUUAGCGAAAAAAGUCUCGAUUUGAGACAUGAGAGAGAGAUGAAUACGAAUUAUUACAAAAUAGGGGUUUGAGAAAUAACGUUUGUUUCACAAACUUAUUGGGCAUCUUCCGAAAAAGCUUAAUCAAAUUCCAAACGCACAAUAAUUAAAUUAUUUUUUAUUGUGACUGUUUAAUCGAUCCCGCUGCUGCUGCUGGUAAACUUCAAUGAAGUCAGAAUAAUCACCACAAUGAAAAAAGAAGCUAAUUAAGUAAUAUAAAAUUGUGGACUCUGGAUUAAUUGACGAUUUUCUGUAAAUUAGAAUGUAUUAAUUAAUUUGUUUGAAUGUGUUAAUUUGUCGAAUCGUACCUUAUUUGGAAUAUGCCACCAAUUUGCCAAAAUUUAACAAAGGAAUUGAAAGUACAAAGGAUUGCAAAUUUAUGAAAGAGAGAUGACCUGAAAUUUUUGGAAAAUAAAAUUAAACUUUAAUAAUGUGAUAAGUCCACAAUGUCGGUGUUAUAAUAUAUAUAUAUAUAUAUAGAGUCCGGCUACUAUACUUUUAUGAGUAUAGAGCCUCUUGUACUUAUAAAUUUUUGCCCGUUAGAUUUACCCUUUAAUCAUUUUCACCCGUUAGAUCAUACUAUUCAACUAACAACCCACUCAACCCUAGGGGGCCCACUAUUAACCUAACCGUAAUCACUUUCAUCAUAACCGUAUAUUUUUUUAUCUGAACGGUUGAAAACUUAUGAGUACAAAGGAUUGUAUACUCAUAUAAGUAUAGUAGCCCCAACCUAUAUAUUAAAGUUGUUAAUUAUAUAUUACAAGGUGGAAAUUAAUUAAUCAUUUCGCCUACGGUAGUUAGCAAUUAUUUUAGUCAAAGCAUCUAUUCCUAUCGGCAUCUAUUCCUAUCGUGCGCAAUAGAUUAAAUUGCAUUGCUAGUCCCUGGACUUUUUGGUCGAGUUUUACUUUUUCUCCUCAAAAUUUUAAGUUCGACAUCCGAUAUUCAAUCCCAGCUGCUGCUACUACUACAAAUGCUUCACUUUAUUUCUUAUGUUAGAGAAAAAAAAUAUUAUCCUCACCUAAUUCAUCAAUAAUUUAAAAUGUUGCAUAGCAACGAGGAGUAGAUUUGGAAAUAUGAGAUAAAAUAUUUUUUUCUUUUGUUUGUUCAUUAAGUUAGGAGUGACAAAAGAAAGGUUGCAAAAUGAAAUUACUUUAUAAGUAAAAGAUACCAUGUCAAGUUGUGGACAUUUUACAUUACAUAUAUAUGGAACAUAAAUAGGCUCUACAUUGUACUUAGAGAUAUGAAAAAAAUUUUGGCACUCAAUUUGAAAAAUAGAUUCCUCAGGCCUAUAUAUAGGUUAAUUAUUUUUGUUCAACUCCUAGGAGCAUAUAUAAGUUAGUCUUUAAUUUUAGGUCACCCCGUAAUAUCAAAAUCUUCAAAAUUUUCAUAUAAGGUCUAAUAUUGUGGUUAGUUCAUUCAAUUCCAUUUGCACCAUGAAAAUACAACAAAACUUAGUUUCAACACUAACAUCACUUCUUCAUACAGCAAAUUAAGGUUCACAACUACUAAUUUGAACUCAAUGACACCACUUUUCAUACAACAAAGGAUCUCUAUCAUAUUUGUAAUUCGAAGCAAACAGAUAACCAUCAGUAACCCAAAGACACCAACAACAGAUUAUUACUCGAAAAAUAUCUUCAAUCAACAACACUACAAUGGAAACAACAAAGGCCCAAUGACAUUAGAAAGAGGAUUGACAUGCAGAACCACGAGCUACACAGAUUCAAUAGACCUACGUGCGCAUCGCCGCACUCUCCUGUGAGAAAACAAAUAAGCGCGAAGAAAAAUUAUUGUUAACUUAAUCUCUAUCUCUUAUUAUUAGUUUGUUUAUGGUAAUAAAAUGUAUAGUUGAAAAUUGAUGUGCAUACUUGUUAUAAGCCUGAAGAUCAUGCUGGAACAAGUGAGCAGCCUCGGGGUUUGCAGGACUCGCAGGAUUUGGGUCAGUGAGAAGUGACUACACCAACAAAAAAAAAAAUUUAAAAAAUUAUUCAGAGCUUCGGUACUUAAUAACAUUUAGCACGUUACAAUAUUUUAGCAACUGAUAGCGAAGAGACGAACCUGGAUUGAUGUUAAUAUUGUACAAACAUUGUGGCAAGGCGACCAUGCAUCCUGAAUGAUAUCCAUGCAAAGUGUGCCAUCAGUGUAAACUGCAAAAGUUUCAGAUUGGCUUCUCAGUAAAACUUUUAAGAUGGUAGAAAUUUUAGGUCACUCAUCAUGAAAUUCCUUAUGUUGAUAAAUUCAGUUCUUUGAUCGCAGAAACAGGAUAGCACAAUAAUAUAAUGCUACUGUACAGUAAAUAAAGGUUAAGAAUGUAGUAGUAUUAGUAGGUCCUAAAAGAGAGAAUACUCAAAAAGGAAAAGAAAAUAACAACACAACUAAUGGAGACACCAACUUGGUCGUGAAGGUUUGAGGCUAUUGAAUUCCAAAAGGAAAAUUUUGUUCGAACUUAUAAAGGUAUGAAGUCCUCAAUUAAGUAUGGGGCUUUAGAUGUCUCAUAAUAUGGAAAAUAUACCCAAACAACCCGAAUAAGAAGUCUCUGCCAAGUGCCAACAAAGGUAGUAAAAACUAGCCAACAUAAAUUCGGAAUAAAAAAGUGCAACAGAUCCAACUCUGUACCUUUCAUCAACUAUGUAAAGAUUGCAAAAUAAGAUGGAAAGCGUAGUUACAAGGUUUGAAGCCCGUCAAGAAAUUUUUUUCUUUUCCCAGAAAACUGUAAAUUAAUAAUGAAUGUAGGAUGCCCAACUUAUUAAGUUUAAACAGAAGUGUGACUUAAAAAACAGCAGAUUCCAUUGGUUUACCAUGAGCAAGUUUACAUUAUGUUGCUCAUACAGUGAAGAAAAACCUAGCUGCUAGCAUAAUACUAUGGGGCAAAAAAAAUAAAAGAAACCAGAAGAAGAAAAUGUAUGCAAAUCCCGUUGCAAGACACGAUGAAUACUUAUAUCACGAGGCAACAAUUUGUUGCCAAACAUAUAUAUUUAGUAUAUAUCUACAGGACAUAACAAUUAAAUCAUAUUACUUAUCGAAAAUUCUUAAUACAAGUCCUCCUAAAUGGCCGUACAUGAUCCCUCUAACAAUCUGAAUAGCUAACCAGAAUGGCAUCACUCUCCUGGCCUUACAAUUAUGGUUGACCAAAGGAGGCCUUUUCAAUUUUGGUUGUCGAACAAAGACUCAAAUAAUGUCUAUCAAUUGACAUAUAUAUAAAAGAUUAAAAUAAAAGAAAAAUAUUAAUUUACAACCUGAAAAGACAAGUUUGUUAAAUGUGGUAAUCACCAACCAAAGAUAAACAAACUACCAGGGCAAAAACAUUUGCUUCAAUGUGAAAAAUGAAUUUACAACAAACAAUUACACAUGACUAAGAUUUUGGACCGCAAUAAAACACAAUUGAUAAGGUGCUUGUUGGCUUCAUGAGAAUGCUGUGCUUCACAAUACAAUAUUCAAGAAAUUCAGAAACCAUCUUACAUGGAAAGGGCACAAUUGCUGAUUGUGAUUUAGGUAAUAUGAAAGCAAUAAAUGGGGAAGAGGAUCUAUUGAUGUAUCCAAUCAUAAUUAAGUUACUUCCACUGUUUUAUCAAGCACAUUGUCAUUAAUCACUAUGACUCCACCUACUUCAUAGGCUCCUUCACAAUGAUUGCGAAACAAAACAGUUAGGAUCAUCACCAUCUAUAAUUCUAAAUCUCUGAAUGGAAUCACAUAAACUCUGAACUUCCAACAUAAAUUCGGAAAAUUUUCAAAAUAAGGUAUAACCAGACCGUUUCCCGAACAAAACAGAUGGCAAUAGUAUAAUCAUGUUUCGUGUUACCUACUAAAGCAGAUCAUAUCAUGCAACCACUUGAGAACGCUACUGGAGGAACAUAAGUUAAAUUAGGCUGCGACCCGUUUCUCGCGUGACAAUUCUAUAUUCCCAGUGAUUUACAAACCGUUGUUGAACCUUCCAUGUAAUUCACUUAACAAGAGAGGCAAAAAUACAGAGCAGAUAGUUAAAAUUAGAGUGAGCCAUAACCACAAUAAACUACACGUGGGAGGACAAAGUAAUAUUAGGAUAAAAAUACAGAGCAUUUUGUACGACUUGGUACUACAGAUAAAUCUAAAGGAGAGAACUCAAAACACAUAUAUUGAACUACUAACCCCAAUUUCAUUUGUCAUAUUUAAAACUACACUAAGCUCGUUCAUGAGUAGCACCAACCGCAGGAUUAAAUGAAUCGACAAAUAAUUAACAGGCUAGUUUCAAACAAUAUAAUUCCAGAUGCCAAAUCCCUUCGAAUUCAUUUAAUUCGCAUAUCUUACCAUUUGGGUGGAACACAUCGGAAGUGAAGCGCACACGAGGAGGCUUCGCAGGGUAAUUAUCCCCAAACGUCAACCGAAGACCAAAUACACCACCUACGCUCCCCCAAUCCAAAACACCGACAAAUUAAUCCCCGAAAAAUCUCAUUUUUAUCAAAAAUUAGAGCAAAUCCGCAUCGAAUUCUCCACAAAAAUCGCACCUUCCCACGGGGUUUCGUCGGGGCCGAAUAUGGUCGCGCUCCACACGAACAAGUUCUCAUCCGACAAGGGACUCGCGCUGCAACCCUGAAACCACGCCCAAAUUUCGCGACGAUUAGGAGAACAGAGUGCGCAACAGUUCGAUUAAGCAUCGAAUUCGCGAAAUUCUCGGGUUAGAUCGAGCGUACGCACCUCGGGGGGCUCGUUGCGGAUGGAUUUGAGAUCGGACAUGAGGCGGAGCUGCGCGGACGACGCCAUGGGCAGGGGCUGGUGCGGAGGAGAGAGAGAGAGGAGGAGAGUCCUGACCCUAAUCCUAAUCCUAACCCUAACCCUAACCCUAGAUGGAAUCGAGGGGUGGAAGAGGGGAUCGGAGUAAUCUGGACGCUUUCUCCAACUAGGAGAGGGGGGUCGAUGCGACGAGAGAGGAGACGACGCGUAGAGAGAAUAAACACGGAGAAUAGUUAUGCGCCUCCGAAUAAAUGCGCGCUAGUCUUUGCAGAGCGGGUAAAAAAGGAAGCUUCCAGAAUCCGAAACCGCUAAUAUCCUCUCAAUUUUCUGAGGUGCAUUGCAUGCAUUGGAUACCACUGCUUUUAUAAACUGAUGUUUCCUUUUUUUUUUUUCCCUUGACAUUUUUUAUCUUAAACUUGCUAUUUUUCUAAUUAUACUUUUGUAACCAUAUAGUACAUUCUAUAUAAAUAUAAAAUAUCUAUAAAUUUUUUUGUUUUGUUUGUUUCGGGAUAGAAUUGAGUCAUGGUCUCAUGGAAAGUCAAAUGUUAAUUUUUCCAAAAUCUAAGAGUGCAUUGGAUAUUUUUUGAUGCUAAAAUUUUUAAAAUAUAUAUUUUAAACUUUAGAAAAAAAGAUUAGAAACAAAACUGACACAUGAGUACAUGACAACAAACAGACACUCCUUAACAAUAUUUCGUUGCGUAAGAAUUAUCCUUAACUGAUACUAUUUAUUUUACGGCCAUAAUGAAUCUCAAAAUUGGAUGAAUAAGAAUAGGCUGAUUUUAUGUUGAAAAUCGUUUCCAUUAUUUUUAAAAAUGAAUAACAAAUUGGUGAGGGCAGUACCAAACAUGAGGCUAUCUUAUCUCAUCCACAGUUCAUUGCCUGUACAACAUGAAUUUCAAAGCUAUGUGAACGAUAAAAUAAAAGGUCUUAUCUUGUCAAAAAAAAAAUAUAAAUUGGGAAUAAACUAUUUUUGGAUUAAUAACCAACGGAUAAGUAUGAGUGGUUGGUGGUAUAGAAUCUUUCAUUUUCGAUUGUACAGUAAAAUAUAACAAAGCAUUGACCCGAAUAAAAUCUUUCAUUCUUAAGCUUAAUCCAUUAAUUAACCCUAGCCAGGUUUCAAAAGAAAAUUAACUAGUUGAUAGGCUCUAGUUUUUUAAUUUAUUAGGUGACUUAGUUUGACCGAAUCUAUUCCUUCAUUCUUAUUCGACUCGAUCCGAUCUAGCACGAUCAUCUUAGACCGCGUCAGAUUCGAGUCCAACAAUUCAAGAUCACGGGUUCGGAUUCGAUGUGUCCUGGUCCGAGAUUUGCUGAUCAGGUGGAACACCUUUUCUUUAUAUUUCUUUUAGCUGUUAUUUUUGUUUUCAUUUUUUUAUAGAACUAGCAUGCGCAUGCAUGAUUGGUGGAUUUUUAUCUCAACCGCCACAUGUGAAAGUAUUAAAUGCACCAGCACCACACGUACCAUGCAACCUGAAUCGUACGUGCAUUAAUUCAAUUGGUUUUCAUCUGGUGGAAGCUCCACUACCAACUCAACAUUGUAUUGCCCAUACAUUAAUCUCAUCAUCCAUCCAUCCAUCCAUCCAUAUCCAUUAAAAGGUGUUUAAUCUUAAGUUUAAAACCCAAAAUUAAUGAGUACACAAUAAGUUUGAAUUGUGAUAAACAAUUGCCUGAGCAACAACACAUAAAAUAUUUAAAGGCGAAAGUUUAAAAUAAAAACUUACAAUUUUAAAUACUAGACGGAUUCUAACAAGCGCAUCGCAAAUUAAAUAGAUAUAUUUAUCAUGGCAUUAAUUAAGUAGGUUGGUAUGUAUGUCUAUUCGGGCAUUCAGAUGUACAUGUUUAAAUAUAAAAAUAUUUAAAUAUCGUUCUCUAUCAGUUUAAGCUUUUAGUGAAUAAUGCUUAUUUCAUCGUUAUAUUUUAUUUUUUGAGAGAAAAAUAGAAUACUAUCUGCUCUGUUUAUUUUUUAAAAAAUAAAUUUAACUGAAAAUAUGAAUUAACUAGAAUUCAAACUUGAAAACUCGAAUAUCAAUCACGAAACCCUUUGUCACAUGUGCUAGGGCAGUACAUAUAUUGCUAGUAAUCAAUAAUAGCUACAGGGGAGAUAAUAAAGAGGGAAAGAAAACAGCUGUGAUCCCAUGUCUGCAUCUGAGGAGAGAAUCCCCCACAACACCUGACCCACCUCCUUUGCUGUUUGUUUCAGCACUUUCCUGCUUCUGGGUAUCAGUUUCACCCUCUCCUCUCUCCCUUUUGUUUGGCCCUUUCUUUUAUCCCUCUCCAACCACUCUUAUUUUGCUGCUUCAUUUCAUGUACACGUGUCCUCCUUUACUGCUUCAUCUCUUUCAUUUUUUUUUUUUUUUGGUGUUUAGUGGAUUCACAAAUCACAUCUUGGUCUUAUGGGUUUAUUCCAUUUAUCAACCAAAUCAAUUUGGCAAAAAAUAAGUUUAGAACAGGCUCAACAUUAACCAAAUCGAAUAGAAAAUAGUCUAAGAAUAGGCUUAACAUCUAUACUUACGUGCAUGAUCUUUUAGAUCAUGUUAAUUAUACUAUGCGCAAGAGAAAAUAGAUAAAAAUUUAUGUUGUUAAAAAAUAGUGAUUGAAGUUGAACUCAGAAUCUUCUAAAAGUGGGACAGCUUAGGACUAACUUUCAUAUAUACAGUGUUACUCGUUGUGCCGAUCUUGGUAAAAAAGUAAAGAGAUAGUCUUACUAAUUCUGUAGGUUUUUGAAAUUUUAAGGUCACUUUCUCUCCUGCUUGUAAAGCCCUCCCCCCCCCACAACUGUUGUUGUCCUUUACUUGCUAUCUGUCUCGCACUGUGUACACGGCCAUUAAUGCAUUCAAUUACUGGGCUCAGCAUUGGACAUGCAUCUUCUUAAACCUAUUUGCACUUGUACACUUUGCCAUAUCCCCUCCUCUCUCUCUCUCUCUCUCUCUCUCUCUCUAUUAAGCUACAAAGAACUCAGGAAUAGAUCCACCUGGGGAACAGCACACUCUAUCGAUCUUUAUCUCUUUCACUCCAAAAGUUUGAGUUUUCUCAUGGAAGGGACAAGCAUUUAUAUCCCUUUCCAUCUACUCUUACCAAUAUUGUUGCUUCUCUUGAGCUCUACGUAUAUUACAUGCUUAGCUAAUGUUAAGCCUGCUGCAGAUAAAUCAUGGUUGACACAACAAGAGGGUUUUAAGGUGAGAUUUUGCUCUCUUCCCUUGUCCUGUGCUCUACAUUAAAAAGGCGAAACUAUUAGUUCCGCAUCAGCUACAAAUAAGAAUCGUUAUGCGUAUGUAUUAUACAACAGUUUUUCCUCCUACCAGCUUAAGCUUUUGGAUUGUUUCUUUUAUCAUGGUAUCAGAGCUUUGUCAAACUUCAGUUUGCUUCUGUUUGGUUCCUUUAACAUGAUUUUGCUCGAUUUUUUCAUCUGGCUUCUUUCAGUUCUUUAAUCCAAUUUUGUCCGAGAUUUCGUGUUAGGAGAGUGCUAAUAUGAAUCCCAACAUAAUAUACAACGAUUCUUCGAUAUAUCUUAAUAUUAAUAUUAAUUGUUCUCUCAUAAUUAAUUUCGUAUUUGGAUUGAAAACAGAAGAGAGUAGAGAGAACGAGCGAGAGAGCUUUGAUUGGGUCAACACCCCCAAAAUGUGACACAAAGUGCUUGGCAUGUGGCCAUUGUGAGGCAAUAGAGGUACCUGUCUCUCCACAGGAGAGGAGGAGAGGAGAUGGGCUUCGCACAAAAGCACUUAUCAGCGCAGAUGAUGCCUACUCAAACUACAAGCCACUGAGUUGGAAAUGUAAAUGUGGAAACUUGAUCUUUAAUCCGUGAUCUUUCAAUGUAUCACACAUAAGUGGACUUGUGAAUAGAUAUAUAGUUGAGAAUUUUGUAAGUGAGAUUCUCUACCCUUUAAUUACUCUCUCUCUCUCUCUCUCUCUUUCUUGGGGUAAAAUAUUCAUCAGCUCAUUAAGUAACGGGGUUGAAUCGAAAAGCUUAAAUCGAUGGAUAUAUAGAAAACUCCCUCACAUCGCGUACAAACCAUAUUCAAUACGGAAUUGUUUUUCUGGAGACACUUCGCUGAUACUUGCAAAGUUCAGCUAGUAUGUGUGGCGCGUGCUUAACGCAAUUAUAUAAGAAUUGGAUGAAACCGAUUAGAAAGAUCUGGAUUAAUGCAGAUGCAAACUAGAUGAAACCAGUUAAAAAAUCAGAUGAACCAGCUAGAAGGGCUUUGCCGCAAGAAAAGUGUGAAUCACUCUGGUAGUAUGUUACCGUGCCAUAGACAAGCCGAGAUAUCAUAUUUUUAUUGGUCUGUUGGUCCGAUUUGCUGGACCAAAAUUCUGAUGAUGAUGGACCCUCCGGGAGAUGGUCAUGCGCAUGAUGUAAUGCCGUAAAGAUGAGAUGUAAGUACUUAAUCCAUCUGUAAAUACUUUGAAAGGGUUUCAAUCGUGGUGUACGUCUUGUACACCUUGGAAUAAUAAAUAUCCUAGGUAUACAGAUCUCUUUAUAAGAAAAUUUCAUAAAGUUAAUGAGGAGUUAAAUGUUGUUUAUCCUACAAUAAGAUUCUAGUUAACUUUAAAUACCCACUCUUUGUUAGGUUAUAUAUUCUAAUUUAAAAGACUAUUAGUCAGGGACAUGCAAUGUACCCGACGUAUCGUAGUAGCCGAUGAUGAGAUUGCUACGAGGCUUGGUCACGGUUGGUGUGCACGUCCUUAUUUAAUAGUACACCCCGCUUCUUGUACUCUCCUUUAUAUAGUACUAAAAUGUAAAUUGCAAAUAGACUGAGCUGUAAAAGUUAAUAAAAACAGCGAAAGGGUUUCCAUGUGAAUGUGGGCCUUAAGUUGGGCUCUGAUGCAUCUUAGGUUGCUUUUGUGGCUUAUCGGAGUGGACCCGUAAUCCCAACCACCCGAUCCGCUAGCCGCAGGGGGCUUCAAAUACAUCCAAAGGGGCCCGGAUGCUUUUGUCAGAUCCGGGCUGUGGCAACUUAGAUCGUCACUCCUCCCCGAUCUUCUUCUUCCGAUGAAUCGACCUCUACAAAUCCAACCUCUCUGGAUGCAACGUUCUCGCAAAUGCCUUUCAAUUCAUUCAUCAUAAAAUGAGACUAAGUCUCUGCUUAGUCGCUACUUCUUUACUGUUGCAUGACAAAGAAGUUUUACAAAAAUUUAUUUAUUGUAGACUUUUGCGGACGCAGAUUUCUGUGGUCUCCCCAAACAAUCAAAUUAAUUUGUGAGAUUUUUAGCAUUCAAGGCGCGCGAGUCACCCAAAGACAUUUCGUAUUUAACUCAAAGAAGAGUCUGAGAUUCAAGACUCUUUGUAUUUAUUUUCUUUUUUUACUUUCAAAGAACCUGAUUAACAAGCAAUUACUCUAGACAAGGUAGUUGAAAGUGAUAAAGAUAAUAGCUAAUUAAAAGGUUGAUGCGUGGACUCGCAUAGUCCAAUGGAGCUCCUUUACAAACACGGUUAGAAGAAUUUUUCUCAAUUUCCUUGUCAUUUCAAUUCAGCAAGUUGUCACUGUCCUCGUGACUCAAGGGUCAAAUGAAUUAAUUAGGGCAAAAAAUUCAAAGAUAAAUGCUGCUUGUGCAAUGUACAAUCCCAACAGAAUGUAUAUAUUUUGCAUCUUACAAAUAGUUUAUACAAAUAAAUGUUGUACUUAGAUAUUUUUAAUAAAUAAUUCUUUAUAAGAAGGAGCUCCUAACUUUCUUUGUAGCAAAUUUUCAAUUUUUUUUUUCUUUUAUCAAAUAUUUUAUGAAAAACUAUUAGUGUUAAAAAUAAAAACAGAAGCCACCUGAUUUGAAUGUUGCAAAGAGGCCAUAGUUCCAUUACUCCUGCUAUAAAUACGUUAGCUUCUACUCAGACAUUGUUUCUCUACAACUACCGCGACAAGGUUUUGCAUAGCUAUUUUAUCCAUGCUACAAAAGUUUCCAUUCUUCCUCUUCAUUCUUCUUCUUCUUCUUCAUUUGCUUCUCGGAAGGCUUGUAGUUUCUUCUCCUAACGAAGAAGAAUUCACCUUCAAUGGAUUCUCCGGAGCCAACCUCAUCCUCGACGGCUCCGCGAUGAUAUGCUCCAGUGACCUCUUAAUCCUAACAAACAACACAAAGGACCAAAAAGGCCACGCCUUUCAUCCUUCCCCUCUCAACUUUCGCAGCAACCUCUCCGACGAUAGUGUCCCCUCCUUCUCCACCACAUUCGCCUUCGCUAUCGUCUCUGAGUACGCCGAUGUCGGCGGCCACGGGCUGGCCUUUGUAAUCGCCCCCUCGGCAAACUUUUCCAAUGCCGUAGCGGCGCAGUACUUGGGUUUAUUCAGCGCUAGCAACAACGGCAACACCACCAACCAUAUCGUCGCCGUCGAGCUCGACACGAUACUUAACUCCGAGUUCCAAGACAUCGACAACAACCACGUCGGGAUCGACAUCAACGGGCUGCAGUCUGACGCAGCCCACACCGCCGGGUACUACGCGGAUGAUACCGGAGAAUUCAGGAGCUCGACCCUCAUCAGUGGCAAAGCCAUGCAAGUGUGGGUCGACUACGAUGGUGUAGAGUCGAAGUUGAACGUCACGCUCUCUCCUGUGAAUGCAACUGGAAAGCCGACGACGAAGCCUACAAAACCGUUGAUAUCGUUCCCGGUCAACCUCUCCACCGUGCUGCUUGAUUGGCCCGUGCACGUGGGCUUCUCAGCAUCGACGGGCUCCGUGCUGACGUCACACUACGUCAUCGGAUGGAGCUUCGCCAUGCAAGUAGGUCAGGCCCCGCCCCUCGACUACUCGAAGCUGCCCGCGAUCCCCCGCACGAAUCUGAAAGGCCACAGGUCGAGGGCUCCGGGUCUCUGGUUGGCUGUGGCUUGUUUAGUUUUUGUGCUGCUGGUGACCGUUGCUGCGUUCGCGGUGGUGAGGUGGAGGAGCAAGUACGCCGAGCUACGCGAGGAUUGGGAGGUGGAGUUCGGACCCCACCGGUUCUCAUACAGAGACCUCUUCCAAGCCACCAACGGGUUCGGCGAGAGGGAGCUGCUGGGAGUAGGCGGCUUCGGGAGGGUCUACAGAGGAACGUUGCCGAAUUCUGGAACGGAGGUGGCCGUGAAGAGGGUCUCCCACGAGUCACAGCAGGGUAUGCGGGAGUUCGUGGCGGAGAUUGUCAGCAUCGGCCGCCUCCGCCACCGCAACAUUGUGCAGCUGCUCGGCUAUUGCCGCCGCAAGGGGGAGCUUCUCUUGGUCUACGACUUCGUCCCCAACGGUAGCCUCGACAAGUACCUGCACUAUGGACGGGCUCAUAAGCCUGCUCUCGGGUGGUCGCAAAGGUUCCGGAUCAUGAAAGGGGUUGCGGCGGGGCUCCUCUAUCUUCACGAAGAGUGGGAGCAAGUCGUUGUGCACAGAGACAUCAAGGCAAGCAAUGUGUUGCUGGACGGCGAGACAAACGCCAAGCUGGGAGAUUUCGGUCUCGCAAGGCUGUACGAUCACGGGAUCGAUCCGCAGACGACCCAUGUGGUGGGGACGAUAGGUUAUCUCGCACCGGAGCUCGCCAGGACGGGCAGGGCAACCACCGCCACCGACGUGUUCGCUUUUGGAGUUUUCCUCUUAGAGGUCGUGCGAACAAUUUUCUUUAUGAUCGACUUAUAGUAACUUUCGUAUAUAUAUUCAACACUCAUGGCGUACUUGAGCUUUAAUCGCAUGUCAAACUACCAGUGUCCUCUAUUAACCUGAUCGAACAUAGUGUGUACACUUUGAUACUUUACAUCCAACAGGUUGCUUGCGGGCGGAGGCCGUUGGAGCAACCGACCGCGGGCUCGCAAGGGGAGCAAUUCCUCUUGGUGGAUUGGGUGGUCAAGAACUGGCGGAAGGGUUCAAUUCUCCAUACGGUGGAUGCCGGAUUAGGAGGAGAGUAUGCGAGAGAGGAGGCGGAGAUGGUGCUAAAGCUAGGGCUGCUGUGCUCCCACCCGCACCCUGCGGCGCGGCCGAGCAUGCGGUUGGUGGUGCAAUACUUGGAGGGUUGUGCACCGCUGCCGGAGCUGUUCCUGGCUUACCUCUACACCAAUGUUUCAUUACCUCACGACGACUGCUUUGAUGAUUAUGUUAUCUCAUAUCCAUCUUCCAUGACAAGUACAUCUACUCUUUUCGGAGGAAGAUGAAUAUUAGCCAUGUAUGUAAGAACAAACGAUAAUAAUAAUAGUAAUAAUAUAACUAAUUUGUAACUGACUGUCGCUAGAGCAAGUGGCAAAAGACUUGAUACAAGUUAACAUCAUUAGCGAUUUUACUUCUCAUAUGCAUGGCACAAGUAAGUUUUUUUCAAAUUCUUUCUCCAAUUAUAAUAGGCAACCUAGCUUUUUUUAAUGAAUAUUCUAUUUAGUAAAUUUUUAAAUUUCUCUUUAUUUUUUUCUUUUUUUUAAUUUUAGUAUGUAAUAUUAAUAAUUAUUAUAACUUAUAUUCACUUUAUAGGGGGAGAUUUAUAGUUUGUUCACAUACUAUUUAAUAAAGUUUAUAAAUAUAUAUAUAUAUAUGGGUAUCCGUACCCGAUUUAGACCCGACCGGUAUCCGAUUUUAAAGGGAUAGUAGACGAAUAGUUACUACCCAUACUUGCUCAAAUAGGCCUAACGGGUAUAUUAGCAACUUAAGUAUCCAGAUUCAGACCCGACCCGAAGUUAAACGGGUAGGGUAUAUAUAUAUUUUUUCUAACUUUUUUUUUUAAGGUACGGAUACAAUAUAUUAACUAUCCAUAUCCGACUCGGUCCACGGACACCUUCAUGUGAAAGUGGGCCUUCUGUUGGGCUAUGAUGCAUCUCUGGUUGCUUUUGUGGCUUAUCCGAGUGGAUCCGUAAUCGCGACCGCCCGAUCCGCUAGCUAGGGGCUUUAAAUACACCCAAAGGGGGCCCUGUUACUGCAGAACCUGUCGGAUGCUUUUGUCCGACCCUGGCAAUCCUACAUCGCCACUCCUCCAUCUUUUUCUUCCGAAGAAUCGGUCUCUCCACGCAUGACAAAGAAUUUAAAGAAAAAAAAUUAUUUAUUGUAGAAUUUUGUGUUACGUGACGAAGAAAUUUUAGAAAAAAUUAUUUAUCGUAGACUUUUGCGGACACAGGCUUUUCGGUCUCCCCAGUAAUCAAAUUUAUAAGGUAUAUAUGGUAUUCAACACAUCUUGUUUUUACCUCAAGAAGUCCGAGAUUCACGACUUUUUGUGUUUUCUUUCGCUUUUUUUUUAAAAAAAAUUUAAAAUUUCAGGAAUAAAUUUAUUUAUUUUAUUUAAAAAUAAAUUUAACUGAAAAUAUGAAUUAAUUAGUACUCGAACAUAUGACCUUGAGUAUCGGCUAUCAAAUUAUUUAUCAUUUGCUCUAGAAACAGUCGGUAAGUAACAUAGAUGUUAACUUUGGAGCAAUCGUAUUCCAAUGGAGUUCCUUCACGAACAAGCCAAAAGAAUUUCUUCAAUUUGUUGUUGCCAAUUUCGUUGCCAUUUCGGUUCGGUCAACAAGCUGUCACUGUGUUCAUACCUAUGCACUUGAAUUAAAUGGAAAUUCUUUUUUAAUUUUGUGACUUUUUCUGUGGUGGUUAGUAAUGUGAAUUUAAAUUAAUAACAGAAGAUAAAUUAUGUUAAAAGUCCAACAUGAUUCGAAUUUGUAAUUUUCUUUUUUAACUUCACGCUAAAUUAUAGAAAAUUAUUAUUAUUUUUAAAAAUUUAAAUUAUUAAAAAAAAGUAUUUUUAAUAAAUUAUAUUCCACACUCACUCUUAAGUUUGAACUCAAAAUCUUUUAAUAAGCACGUAAAUUAAAAGAAAGGAAAUUAAUAAGAUUAGAGUUCUAGAGAGACUAGAAUUUAUAACCGUUUGCUUUAAUACUAUAAAAGAAAAGUAAGGAAAGUUAAGUCUUAGAAAUUAUUUGAAUUUUUUUUUUUUGUAUUUUGUGGUAGAGAGUAUUAUUCAUUUUAUUGAAUAAUUAAAUUAUACAAAAUAUUACAAAUUGCAUUAUAUGCAUAAACAAAUUGAAAUUAUAAAAUACAAUCAUAAUUUUUUUUUUAAGUGGAUUGAAAUGAAUCUUGAUUGUGCAAAUAUUUCACAAAUAAUCCUUCACAAUAUUUUCUUCUUGGAGUUUACUGGACUUUUUAAUUAGUCUCUUGAUGUAAAAUUCAAAGAUAAAUAUGUCACUUGUGCAUCCGAAACGAGGUGUAUAUUUUACGUCCUAGUUAUACAAUAAGCGGGUUGCUUUCAUUAAUUAGUCAUUUAAUAUGACUAGUAUUUUAGUUAUAUUUAUUGAAUAGAUGAGAUGUAAGAUAUACAUAUUUUCUGUAGAUGUAUAAAUAAUAUUUCUCAAAUGGUAGGAAAUUGAUUAUAAAAGGAUCACACUUUAGGUGAGUGAAUAAUAUUUCUCAGAUGCUAGGAAAUAGUUUGUAGAAGGAUCACAUAUUGUAAAAGGGACAAAUGCUUGAAAUUAUUUUAUAAAAAUGAAUGCCAUAUUUAAAUAUAUUUAAUAAUUAACUUUUUACAAGAAACACAAAAUUGGGGAGGAAUCCUAACUUUUCCUUGUAGCAAAAUUUUUAAGUUCUUUAUCUCAUCAAAUAUUUUAUAUAUAAAAAAAUCAUUGUUAAAAAUAAAAGAAAAAAAAACAGAAGCUACCUGAUAAGUCAACAUUGAUUGUCAAUAUUGUGAAAAGGCCAUAGAUGAUCUAUAACUUUGCUAUAAACACAUUAACUUAUUCUCAGACCAUACUUCUCUGAGACUACUGAGAAAGUUUUGCAUAGCUAUUUUAUAUAUCCAUGCUACUGAAGUUGCCGUUCUUCCUCUUCCUCCUUCUUCGUUUCCGUCUCGGUAAGCUUGUGGUUUCUUCCACUACCGAAGAACAAUUCACCUUCAAUGGAUUCUCCGGAGCCAACCUCACCCUCGACGGCCUCGCGACGGUAUCCUCCGACGGCCUUUUAAUCCUAACAAACAACACAAAACAACAAAAAGGCCACGCCUUCCACCCUUCCCCUCUCCGUUUCCCCCGCAACCCGUCCGACGGUAGCAUCCCCUCCUUCUCUACCACCUUCGCCUUCGCCAUCGUAUCAGAGUAUGCCGAACUCGGCGGUCACGGGCUCGCCUUUGUAAUCACCCCCUCGACGAACUUCUCCGAAGCCCUGCCGGCCGAGUACUUGGGCUUAUUCAACAUGAGCAGCAACGGCGAGGCAACCAACCAUGUCGUUGCCAUCGAGCUCGACACGAUACGCAGCCCUGAUUUCCAAGACAUCGACAACAACCACGUUGGGAUCGACAUCAACGGGCUGCGGUCCUACACGGCCCACACCGCCGGAUACUAUGCGGACGAUACUGGAGAAUUCAGGAACUUGACCCUCAUCAGUGGCAAAGCCAUGCAAGUAUGGGUCGACUACGACGGCGUAUAUUCGAAGCUGAACGUUACGCUCUCCCCUAUAAACGCAACUGGAAAGCCGACGACGAAGCCUACAAAACCGUUGAUAUCGUUCCCGGUCAACCUCUCCUCUGUGCUGCUUGAUCGGCCCCUGCACGUGGGCUUCUCUGCAUCGACGGGCUCCUUGCUGACGUCACACUACGUCAUCGGAUGGAGCUUCGCCAUGAGCGUAGGUCAGGCACCGCCCCUUGACUACUCGAAGCUGCCGGCGAUCCCUCGCGUGAAUCUCAAACGCCACGGGUCGAGGGCUGUGGGCUUGUGGCUGGCUGUGGCUUCUUUAUUAUUCGUGCUGCUGGCGACCGGUGCUGCGUUCGCCGCGGCACGGUGGCGGAGCAAGUACGCGGAGCUCUGCGAGGAUUGGGAGGUGGAGUUCGGGCCUCACCGGUUCUCGUACAGAGACCUCUUCCGAGCCACCAACGGGUUCAGCGAGAGGGAGCUGCUGGGAGUAGGCGGGUUCGGGAGGGUCUACAGAGGAACGUUGCCGAAUUCUGGAGCGGAGGUGGCCGUGAAGAGGGUCUCCCACGAGUCGCGGCAGGGCAUGCGGGAGUUCGUGGCAGAGAUCGCCAGCAUCGGCCGUCUCCGCCACCGCAACAUCGUGCAGCUGCUCGGCUACUGCCGCCGCAAGGGGGAGCUUCUCCUGAUCUACGACUUCGUCCCCAACGGCAGCCUCGACAAGUACCUGCACGAUUGCAGGGCUGAAAAGCCGGCUCUUGCUUGGUCGCAGAGGUUCCGAAUCUUGAAGGGGGUUGCUACGGGGCUCCUCUAUCUUCACGACGAGUGGGAGCAAGUCGUUGUGCACAGAGACAUCAAGGCGAGCAAUGUGCUGCUGGACGGCGAGAUGAACGCCAAGCUGGGGGAUUUCGGUCUCGCAAGGCUGUACGAUCGCGGCACCGAUCUGCAGACGACCCACGUGGUGGGGACGAUGGGUUAUCUCGCUCCAGAGCUCGCAAGGACGGGGAGGGCAACCACAGCCACCGACGUGUUCGCUUUCGGAGUUUUUCUCUUAGAGGUCGUGCGAAAACUAUUUUCUGUCCUCCUCCUUUAUGAUCGACUAAAAAGCUAGCUAAGAAUAACGUUCAUAUUUACAUUCAACAGUCAUUGCGUACUUGAACUUUAAUCGCACGUCAAACGUCCAGUUUCCUCUAUUAAUCUGAUCAAAUAUAGUGGGUACACUUUGAUACUUUAUAUCCAACAGGUUGCUUGCGGGCGGAGGCCGUUGGAGCAAUCGACCGUCGGCCCGCAGGGGGAGCAACUCCUCUUGGUGGAUUGGGUGGUCGAGAACUGGCGGGAGGGUUCGAUUCUCGAUACGAUGGAUGCCGGAUUGCGAGGAGAGUACGCGAGGGAGGAGGCGGAGAUGGCGCUGAAGCUGGGGCUGAUGUGCUCUCACCCGCACCCUGCGGUGCGGCCGAGCAUGCGGCUGGUGGUGCAGUACUUGGAGGGCCGGGUGCCGCUGCCGGAGCUGUCGGCGGCUUAUCUCUGCUUCAGCAAUCUAUCAUUACCACACAAGGAAGGUUUCGAUUAUUAUGUUGUCUCAUAUCCAUCUUCCGUGCCGAGUGCAUCUACUCUCUCCGGAGGAAGAUGAAUGAAUAUUAGCCAUGUAUGGAUCGGAUAGAGAGAGCUUCAUACGAAGAAAUUAAGAUGUAUUUGGACUGUAUGCAUGAAGAAAAAAGUUUCUGCCAAAUAGAUAUAGUGACCAUUAAUCAAAUUGUAAGGUCUUCUUUGAAUGGAUCAUAAAAAUAUAGCACAGUAAAAUUUUUGAUGUGGCUUAAAACAUUUAUAAGGAAGUGUUAAUUUAGAUACUUCAAAAGAAAUAUAUCUAAAAAAUAAAAUAUAGUUUAUCAUUAGCCAAAAAAUAAAGUUAAAGUAAAUAUACUAAAACUAGUUGAAGAAUAUCGGAUCGACAAAAAUGUUCGGAGCACCGGCCUGCAAUUUCUCAUCAAGGAUCAAUUAAUCACGGAGAGCUUUUAGAGAUUGCAAAGAGGUGCUCAUUUUGAUAUAUUAAUAUGUACUUUUAAUUUUUUCUAUUGAUUUCAUAUAGGUUUUUGUCGCUUGGAAUGCUCCGAAUUUGUUGAUACUAAAUCAUGUUUUCUCUUAUUUGAUCUCUCUGAUUUGAUAUAUUGCUUUUAAUGUUUUGUUGAUUUCUUUUAUUUAAUUGAUGAUUUUGGCAAAUUGAGCAUUUUGAGUUAAUAAUCUCAAACUCGGUAAUCGUUUUUUUUUUCGCCCUCCUCGAGACCUGUGAGGUUUUACCCACGUAGUCUAAUUUAUCUUUUCAAUGAAUCAAACGAAUAGUGUGUUAUCUUUUUCUAAAAAAAAUUUCUUCGGAUUAAUGUCGACGCUUUAAAUGCUUGGAUUUUGUUUAGUUGUUGGCACAAACCACUUUUGCCAGUAGUUAUAAGAAUAAAGAAAUAGUCUUACUAAUUUUGUAGGUUUUGAAAUUUUAAGAUCACUCUCUCCUGCAUGUAAAGCUCUCUUCCCCAAACAACCAUUAAUGGCAUUCAAAGCAUCUUACCUUAAGAUGUAUAUAUAUUUUGCACAAUUAAUAUUAUAUUUAACUCUCUCUCUAUAUAUAGAAAGAGCGGUUAAAUUUAAAAUCUCAGAUAUUAACCACCAACGGUACAUAGCACCAUUGACUAAGAGCUUAAUAACAAGAAGCUUUUCCGGGAGGGAUCAACACUUAACUUUUCAUCUAUUUCUACCAUUGUUAAACUCUGUAUAUUUAACAUGUUAAGCUGAUUUUAAACCUAUUGCAGAUAGAUUAUUCUUGAAAUAAUAAUAGAUUUUUAAGGUGGGAUUUUUCUCUCCUCGUGUUUUUUGCUCUACAUUAAUUAACCUGCUAAAACUAUUAGUGCCGUGCCAACUAAGAAUACGAUUAAUAAUUAAUCAUCCACAUAUAUUAUAUAUAUAUAACGUUUUUUUCUUCGGAUGGCUUAAGCUUUUGGACUGUUUGGAGUCUUUUUCCUCAAAACUCUGUUGUGUUUUAUUUGUAGAACGUACAUAGAAGUCAAUUACUUUGAAAAUGUGUACUUUGAAAGUAACAAGGAUAUUAAUUAAUGUAGGGAGGAGCAAUCAUAAAGGGUUGAGUGUGUGUAUACGUGCAAGGCAAAACAAUUCUUUUACAACGCCCUUAUUUUACGGCAAUUUGUUCUACUCAACUUUGUUGUCAUCUCAGCUUCGUCAACAUAUUGUCACUGUCCUAAUGACGAAGAGUCAACUUAAUUAAUUAUUUGGGGCAUAAAAUCCGUAUAUUAUAUUUAAACAUUUUCAAUAGAUAAUAAUUUUUUUAAGAAACACUAAAUUGGAUGAAUUAAUCCCAACUUUCUAUGGGACAAACAUUUCAUUUUUUUUAAUUUUAUAAAAUUGUUAUCGUAUCGUACGUUGUGCAAAAGGGACUUAGGUAUGUAUAUAACUGUGAUAUAAAUAAAUACAUUGAUAACCGCUACUCGUGUAUUGCUUCUUUGAGACUACCUCAACGUUUGCAUAAUUGUUUGUCGAUGCUUCUGAAAUUUGCAUCCUUCCACUUCCAUCUUCUUCUCCUUCUCCUUCUUAAGCUUGUGGCUUCUUCUCCUACGACUGAAGAACACUUCACAUUCAAUGGAUUCUCUGGAGCCAACCUCACCCUCGACGGCAUCGCGACGGUAUCCUCCGACGGCCUCUUAAUCUUGACAAACACCUCAGUGCAACACAAAAGCCACGCCUUCCAUCCUUCCCCUCUCUGCUUCCGCCGCAACCUCUCCGAUGGUAGCAUCCCCUCCUUCUCCAGCACCUUCGCCUUCGCCAUCGUCCCGACCGGGAACGGCGACGUUGGCGGCCACGGGAUCGCCUUUGUAAUAACCCCCUCGAUGAACUUCUCCAAAGCCUUAGCCGGCCAGUACCUUGGCUUAUUCAACAUGAGCAACAACGGCGACGCCGCCAACCAUGUCGUCGCCGUCGAGGUCGACACAAUUCUCAACCUUGAGUUCCAAGACAUCAACGACAACCACGUCGGGAUCGACAUCAACGGGCUGCGGUCCGAAGAAUCUCGUGCUGCCGGGUACUAUGCGGAUGAUACCGGAGAAUUCAAGAGCUUGACCCUUAUCAGUGGCAACGCCAUGCAAGUGUGGGUCGACUACGACGGCGCAGAUGCGAAGUUGAACGUUACGCUCUCCACUAUAAACGCAAUUGGAACGCCGACGACGAAACCUACCAAACCGUUGAUAUCGUCCGCGGUCAACCUCUCCACCGUGCUGUCAGACUUGCCCGUGCACGUGGGCUUCUCCACGGCGACGCACCCCAUGCUGACGUCACAAUACGUCCUCGGAUGGAGCUUCGCCAUGAACGUAGGUCAGGCUCAGGCCCCGCCCCUCGACUACUCGAAGCUGCCCGCGAUCCCCCGCACGAAUCUCAAAGGCCAUAGAUCGAGGGCUCUGGGUCUCUGGUUGGCCGCGGCUUCUUUAGUUUUAGUGCUGCUGGUGAUGUUUGUGGCGUUCGCGGCGGCGCGGUGGCGGAGCAAGUACGCGGAGCUUCGCGAGGAUUGGGAGAUGGAGUUCGGGCCCCACCGGUUCUCGUACCGAGACCUCUUCCGAGCCACCAACGGCUUUAGGGAGAGGGAGCUGCUAGGAGCCGGCGGCUUCGGCAAGGUCUACAGAGGAACGUUGCCGACUUCACGGGCGGAGGUGGCGGUGAAGAGGGUAUCCCACGAGUCGCGGCAGGGGAUGAGGGAGUUCGUGGCGGAGAUCGCCAGCAUCGGCCGCCUCCGCCACCGCAACAUCGUGCAGCUGCUCGGCUACUGCCGCCGCAGAGGGGAGCUUCUCUUGGUCUACGACUUCGUCCCCAACGGUAGCCUUGACAAAUACCUGCACUACGGCCGGGCUCAUAAGCCUGCUCUCGGGUGGUCGCAAAGGUUCCGAAUCUUGAAGGGGGUUGCGAAGGGGCUCCUCUAUCUUCACGAAGAGUGGGAGCAAGUCGUUGUGCACAGAGACAUCAAGGCGAGCAAUGUGCUGCUGGACGGCGACAUGAACGCCAAGCUUGGGGAUUUCGGUCUCGCGAGGCUGUACGAUCACGGCACCGAUCCGCAGACCACCCAUGUGGUGGGGACGACAGGUUAUCUCGCGCCUGAGCUUGUAAGGAGUGGGAAGGCGACCACCGCCACCGACGUGUUCGCUUUUGGAGUUUUCAUCUUAGAGGUCGUCUGAAACAAUAUUCUCUUCUGCUUUACGAUUUGCUAAAAGUUUUUUGAGCUGCUAGCUAGGUAGAAUUAAAAUAAUAUUCGUAUAUUCAACACUCAUCACCUCUGAAUUCAAUUUCAAUUUUUUUUUUUUUUAUUUUCACGAGUAAUUAAGAUUUUGAAAAGACUCAAAAUUUCGAUAGCAUGUCAAACAACUAUUUUUCUCUGUCAAUCUUAAACUGUUAGUUAGGGAUCGAAUAUAGUGUCGCAUGUUUUAAUAUUUUAUAUCCAACAGGUUGCUUGCGGGCGGAGGCCGUUGGAGCAAUCGACCGUCGGCCAGCAGGGGGAGCAAUUCCUAUUGGUGGAUUGGGUGGUCGAGAACUGGCAGACGGGCUCGAUUCUCGAUACGGUGGAUGCCGGAUUUGGAAGAGAGUACGCGAAGGAGGAGGCGGAGAUGGCGCUGAAGCUGGGGCUGAUGUGCUCGCACCCGCACCCGUCGGCGCGGCCAAGCAUGCGGCUGGUCGUGCAGUACUUGGAGGGCCACGAGCCCCUCCCGGAGCUGUUUCCGGCUUAUCUCUGCUACACCAAAUUUUCGUUGCCUCACAGUGUAGGUUUUGAUUACUAUGUUUCCUCCUAUCCAUCUUCCGUGCUAAGUGCAUCUACUCUGUCCGGAGGUAGAUGAAUGAAUAUCAGCCAUGUAUAUAAGAACAAAUAAUAAUAAUAAUAAUACGAAGAAGAAAAAAAAUCAUGUCGUAUAAAAAAAAUAUUAAUUUUAUAUCUUUUUAUAAUAAAUUAAUUUUUAGAUUUUACUUAUAAAUUUAAAUUUUUAAUAAAUUAACCAAAAUUUUUUUUAUUGCUCUUUCUCUCUCGUACUUUUUCUCUUCCUCCGCCGCCACCACCGAAUAGACGUUCUGCUGCUAGGAGUAUAAAACAUGCCGUCCGAACUGGCACGAUUAUGGGCCUGACCUAGGCACGACACGGUACUGUAGAAUCCAUAUAAGCUGAGCCCGGCCCGGCAUUAUAAGUCGUGCUGGGCCAACCCAACGGGGGCCAUUGACCUGGCUAUUGGUAGCGAUGAUGACAAAGGGUGCUGCAACAUUUGAGCAUGACAAGAAGGGAGAGCGCUUUGGGAGGGGGGACGACGUUUAUGGCAGAGUGUAAAGGAGGGGGCGCAAUCCUGCAAUAGCACGAUAGAAUGCAUAGUGUGGAAGGGAAACAAAAAAGAAAAAAAUAAAUUAUUUAAGACUAAGUCAUAAAACCAGUUAAGAACCAGAUGGAACCCGUUAGAAGGGCUGGGCCGCAAGAAAAUGAGCCUAGGAGCAUGGCUAGAUUCUUGUCUCCUUUUUGUCGGCCAGUUGGUCCGAUUUGCUGGCCCAACACAUUUACAUCCCUAAUGCCUCCUAGAGAUGAUGGGCUCUUGGGAGAUGGUCGUGCACAUGAUAUAACGCCGUAUAAAGAUGAGAUGUACUUAAUCCAUCCACAAGUAUUUUGAAUGGGUUUCAAUCGGUGUAUGUCUUGAGGAAUUCUACACUGUCACACUUGCACUACGUCAUCAAUAACAAGUCAAUCACAUUUCUUCUUUUCAAACAAAAGUACAAUAAAAAAUAUUUUUUAACAAUCAUGAUGGAACAUAUAUUUAUAAAAAGAGAUAUUUAAUUAGUUUGUUACGUUACGUCACCAAUAUACCCGUUGCAUUUUAGAAUGUUUCGUACAUCUUGUACACCGUGGGAAUUUUGAAGUGAAUGUGGGCCUUGAGUUGGGCUCUGAUGCAUAUCAGUUUGCGUUUGUGGCUUUUCGGAGUGGACCCGUAACCCCGACCAUCCGAUCCGCUAGCUUCAAGCUUUAAACGCUUGCAAAGGGGCCCUGGUACCCCAGAUCCUGUUUGAUGCUUCUGUCGGAUCCGGGCUUUGGCAACCCCAGAUCACCACUCCUCCCUGAUCUUCUUCCUCCGAAGAAUCGGUCUCAUGAAUCUAACCACUCUCGACGUGUCCUUACAGAAGAAACCUUUUAAUUCGCCUUGAAAGAAGGCUAAGUCUUUACUUAUAUUCUCUUUAUUGCUAAAUAUACUUUCUUUUUUGAGAAAAAUGUAGCACGCUACCUGCUUCAUUCAUUAGGCAAAUUAAUUUGGCUACAAAGGGUGAGACAGCUAGGGCCUCAAAGAGUGACAAAAGUAAAGAAAGAUGAACUCUAAAAAUAUCUGAAAAGAGCUAAAAAGAGCACAAAGUCAAACAAAUAAACGGUCUCACCCACGUCUACAAAAAUCGGUCCACUUCUUUGCCAGUACACUAAUACAAUGUGCCAUAGAGGUAGCGUUCAAGGUAAGGUUUCGAAAAAUAACGUUAUUUCUCUCGCGCCACAACGUCCACCACAGGGCCACCACUAGUAUCUGAGGCUUCAGAGUGUCAGACGCUGGCUUUAUUGCUAAAUAUACUAGUAUACUAUUCUAUUUAAUCAUUACUUUCUGAAGAGUAAAACUCUUCGGAUUGUACUGGCUGUCCCUAAAGCAAGUGGCAAAGGGCUUAGUGGUUGAUAUUCAAGCCAGCAACAACUUGUUGACCAAAGUGAAAUGACAAUGAAAUUGAGAACAACAAAUUGCGGUAAAUGAGGGUGUAGAAGAAAUUCUUUUGCCUUGUUCGUAAGGGAACUCCAUUGGAUCAUACGUGUACACAUAUCAUCCCUUAAGAAAACGAUUGCACCUAAGUUAAUAUCUUUGUUACUUUCAAGUACCCUGUCAAGAGUUAGUGGUUGUUAAAUAUGUUCUUAAAAAAAAAAAAACAUAAAGUCUUGAAUCUCGGACUAUUCGAGUUAAAAACGAAAUACCUUAGGGUUAGAUGCCUUGAAUACCAUAUACUUUAAAAUUUUGAUUAUUGGGGACACCAAAAAAGCAGAUAGGUAGCACGCUAUCCAAGUGAAUUAUUUAGGGCAUAAAAUUCAAAGAUAAAUACCGACCGACCCUAGAGUAAGUGGCAAAAAAUUUGGUGGUUGGUAUUCAAGACCCAAAUUCGAAUCCUACUUGAUUCAUAUAUCUAGCUAAGUUUAUUUCUAAAUGAAAUAAAUGAAACGGAUAGUGUGCUAUCUAUCUCUCAAAAAAAAAAAAUUCAAAGAUAAAUGGUACUUGUAGAUUCCAAACAAAGUAUAUAUAUAUAUUUUACAUUCUAUUUAUCUAAUGAGCAAGGUCCUCGUAACUUGAUGCGACUAGUCGACAACUUGAUUCAUUGAAGUGUAAGAUACAUACCUACUUCUAGAUGUAUGAGUAGGAUUGCUCAAAUUCAAAGGGUCAAAUGCAUUCACACCCCUCUAAACUUUAAAAAUAUCAUAGAUGUCUUUAUAAAUGUGAUUAUAUCACAAAUACCACUAUAAAUACUUACUGUCUUUUAAAUAUACCUUUACCCUUACUUUCCAUCUCAUUAUAGAAUGCUAAAAUAUUUAGAUUAUCGUAAAUGUGGUCAAAAUAUCCAUUUUGCCUUUAACUUCUAAAAUUUUUUUACAAAAAUAUUUUAGUAUGAUAAUAUUUAUUUUAAAAUAUUAAAAUAAAGAGUAAAAUAUAUCAUUUUAUUACGGUAUGGUUUGUAAAAUAAGAUACUUUACAUUAUUUAUUUUGAAAUUCGAGAUGCCAAAGUGCAAAAUUUCGUUCUAGUUCAAAUAACUUAGUUCACAUCAUGCAUAUAUAUUUAGGUUAUAUUUUGAAUAAACUAUUUAAUCUUAUUUUAAUGAGUCAAUUGAUACAUUAUACAAUUUUUUGCUUACUUUUUUUUUCAAAUAUUUUGAUUUUUUAAUCUUUUUAGCUUCACUUGUCAGAGUUAUAUAUAUAUUUUUAAUUGGCAAAAAAUUAUCUGCAAAAGUAGAUUAUUUAUAAAUUUAAAAGGGUAUUUAUAAAGUUAUAAAUAAUUUUAUAGCCAAUUAAAUAUUUUAAGUUCAUAAUGGUAGAAUUUUAUUUGUCAUUUAUUCAAAAUUCACCAUAAGUUAGUGUAAGGGUUAUUUUUGAAAGUUUCUCUUUUUUUGAAGGUUAUUUGAGACAUUUUAACUUUUAUAGGGGCAUUUAUGAUAUUGGAUUUAUUUGAAAGGGUAGUGAGGAAAUUUUUCCAAAUUCAAAAGGUAAGAAUGUAAGAUCCCACAUUGUAAAAGGAGAAAUGCUAGCUAGGAAAUAAUUUAUAAAAAUGAAUGCUAUAUUUAAAUAUUUUUAAUAAAUAACAUUUUGUAAGAAACACUAAAUUGGAGAGGAAUCCUAACUUUUAUUUGUAGCAAAACUUUCAAAUUUUUUUAAAUCCUAAUUAUCGAACAUUUUAUGUAAAAAAUACUAUUGUUCAAAAUAAAAGCAGAAGCAAACUGACAAGUCAAUGUUGCAAAAGGCCAUAUAUAGAACUAUUACUCUGCUACAAAUACAUUAACUGCUCUUCAGAAAUUGCUUAUCUGAGACUACUGACAAGGUUUUGCAUAACCAUUUUAUCCAUGCUACUGAAGGUUUCAUUCUUCUUCUUCCUUCUUCAUUUCCUUCUCGGAAAGCUUGUAGUUUCUUCUCCCACUGAAGAAGAAUUCACCUUCAAUGGAUUCUCCGGAGCCAACCUCACCCUCGAUGGCUUGGCGACGGUAUCCUCCAACGGCCUCUUAAUCCUAACAAACAACACAAAACGACAAAAAGGCCACGCCUUCCAUCCUUCCCCUCUCAACUUCCGCGGCAACCUCUCCGACGAUAGCGAUGUCCCCUCCUUCUCCACCACAUUCGCCUUUGCCAUCGUCUCUGAGUAUGCCGACGUCGGCGGCCACGGGCUGGCCUUUGUAAUUGCCCCCUCGAAAAACUUUUCCAACGCCGCAGUGGCCGAGUACUUGGGCUUAUUCAACAAGAGCAGCAACGGCAAGGCCACCAACCAUGUCGUUGCCAUCGAGCUCGACACGAUACUCAGCCCCGAGUUCCAGGACAUCGACAACAACCACGUCGGGAUCGACAUCAACGGGCUGCGAUCCUACACGGCCCACACUGCUGGUUACUACACGGACGAUACCGGAGAGUUCAGGAACUUGACCCUCAUCAGUGGCAACGCCAUGCAAGUGUGGGUCGACUACGACGGCGUAGAUGUGAAGCUGAACGUUACGCUCUCACCUGUGAAUGCAACUGGAAAGCCAACGACGAAGCCGACUGAACCGUUGAUAUCGUUCGCGGUCAACCUCUCCACGCUGCUGCUUGAUCGGCCCAUGUUCGUGGGCUUCUCAGCAUCAACGGGCUCGGUGCUGACGUCACACUACGUCAUCGGAUGGAGCUUGGCCAUGCACGCAGGUCAGGCCCCGCCGCUUGACUACUCGAAGCUGCCCGCGAUCCCCCGCACGAAUCUGAAAGGCCACAGCUCGAGGGUUCUGGGCCUCUGGUUGGCUGUGGCUUCCUUAGUUUUCGUGCUGCUGGCGACCGUUGUUGCCAUCGCGGUGGUGAGGUGGCGGAGCAAGUACGCAGAGCUGCGCGAGGAUUGGGAGGUGGAGUUCGGGCCCCACAGGUUCUCGUACAGAGACCUCUUCCGAGCCACCAACGGGUUCGGCGAGAGGGAGCUACUGGGAGUCGGGGGCUUCGGGAGGGUCUACAGAGGAACGUUGCCGAAUUCUGGAGCGGAGGUGGCCGUGAAGAGGGUCUCCCACGAGUCGCGGCAGGGGAUGCGGGAGUUCGUGGCGGAGAUUGUCAGCAUCGGCCGCCUCCGCCACCGCAACAUCGUGCAGCUGCUCGGCUACUGCCGCCGCAAGGGGGAGCUUCUCCUGGUCUACGACUUUGUCCCCAACGGUAGCCUCGACAAGUACCUGCACGAUUGCAGGGCUCAAAAGCCGGCUCUUGCUUGGUCGCAGAGGUUCCGAAUCUUGAAGGGCGUUGCUACGGGGCUUCUUUAUCUUCACGACGAGUGGGAGCAAGUCGUUGUGCACAGAGACAUCAAGGCAAGCAAUGUGCUGCUGGACGGCGAGAUGAACGCCAAGCUGGGGGAUUUCGGUCUCGCUAGGCUGUACGAUCACGGCGCCGAUCUGCAGACGACCCACGUGGUGGGGACGAUGGGUUAUCUCGCGCCGGAGCUCCCAAGGACGGGGAGGGCAACCACAGCGACCGACGUGUUUGCUUUCGGAGUUUUCCUCUUAGAGGUCGUGCGAAACAAUUUUCUCUAGCUCCUCUUCCUUUUUGAUCAACUUACAGUAACGUUCGUAUAUAUAUUCAACACUCCUCACAUGCUUGAACUUUAAUCGCACGUCAAAUUACCAGUGUCCUCUAUUAAUUUGAUCGAAUACUGUGUACGCUUUGAUAAUUUACGUCCAACAGGUUGCUUGCGGGCGGAGGCCGUUGGAGCAAUCGACCGCGGGCUCGCAAGGGGAGCAAUUCCUCUUGGUGGAUUGGGUGGUCGAGAACUGGCGGAAGGGUUCAAUUCUCAAUACGGUGGAUGCCCGAUUAGGAGGAGAGUACGCGAGGGAGGAGGCGGAGAUGGUGCUGAAGCUGGGGCUGAUGUGCUCGCACCCGCGCCCUGCGGCACGGCCGAGCAUGCGGCUGGUGGUGCAGUACUUGGAGGGUCGUGCACCGCUGCCGGAGCUGUCGCCGGCUUGCCUCUGCUUCACCGAUCUAUCAUUACCUCACGACGACUGCUUUGAUGAUUAUGUUAUCUCAUAUCCGUCUUCGGUGCCAACUGCAUCUACUCUCUCCGGAGGAAGAUGAAUAUUAGCCGUGUAUGUAAGAAUAAAUAAUAAUAAUAAUAAUAAUAAUAAUAAAUUUAAUUUGUAUAAAAAAAUUAAUAGUUUUGUAUUUUUUAUAAGUAAAUUAUUUUUAUAGAUUUUACGGAUAUGAAUUUAUUGAUCUGAAUUAUUAAUAAACUGAUCAAAUUAUUUUUAUUCUUCCUUCUCUCUUUUGUUGUUCUCGUCUCCUUCCUGCUUCCUCUCCCCCACCACGUAGACCUCGCGCUUCUAGGAAUGUAAAACGUGGUCGUCGGGCUUUGGCACGAUUACGAGCCGUGUCUACAUAGGUCACGGUUCUGUAGAACUCGUACUGGGAGAGCCCGGCCCGAUAUCUUGGGUCGUGCUGGGCCAACCAAUGGGGUCCGUCGACUCGGUACGACACGGUCUGUGUUAAAUCUUGGCCGUGCCAGGCCGACAAUUUGUUCCGAGGACUGGCCCCGGGGGAUCUUGGGGAGUUAGGGAGCCAUUCGUCCCCGCAAAUCCCAAACUGGGCCUUUGCCGGCUCCCCAACUCCCUAGGCAGACUUUUCUGAAAAAAAGAUAUUUUUUAAAUUAUAAAUUUUUUAUAAAAUUUUAAAAUUAUUUUAAAAUUUUAUUAUUUUAUAAAUAUUUUUAUAAAUUUUAUUUUUUUUGUUAACAUAUUAGUUGAAAAAAAUUAUUUUAAUUUUGUUAUUUUUAAAAGAAAAUUAUAUAUUUUAUUGGAUCACGGCAUGUGCCAUCCAGCCAUCCAGGUCGAAGCAAUGAUUGGAUCAACACCCCCAAAAUCUGAAACAAGGUGGUUGGCAAGUGACCAUCGUGAGGCAAUAUAUAAAGGUACCUGUUUCUCCACAGGAGAGGAGGAGAGGAGAUGGGCUUCGCGCAAAAUCCCUUAUCAGCGCAGAUGAUGCCUACUCUAACUACAAGCCGCUGAGUUGGAAAUGUAAAUGUGGGAACUUGAUCUUUAAUCCGUGAUCUUUCAAUGUAUCACACAUAAGUGGAAUUGUGAAUAGUUAGUUGAGAAUUUGUAAGCGAGAUUCUCUACUCUUUAACUACUCUCUUUCUCCCUCUGCUUCUUAGGGUAAAAUAUUCAUCAGCUCAUUAAGUAACAUAGUUGAUUCUAAAAGUUUAAAUUGGUAGAUAAAAAUCAUCUUCCGUAUUGCAUAAAAAUCAUACAAUAUCCAACAUAAAAAUUGUUGUUUUUUUUUUUAGAGAUAGAUAGCACGCUACCCGCUUCGUUUAUUUCAUUUAGAAAUAAACUUAGCUAAAAAUGUGAAUCAACUAGGAUUCGAACUUGGAUCUUGGGUACCAACUAUCAAACCCUUUGCCACUUGCUCUAGCGACGGUCGGUAAUAUAAAAAUUGUUGUUCUUAAGACAUUUUCCUGAUACUCAUGAAGUCCUUCUAGUAUGUAUGCCACGUACUUAACACAAUUAUGUAUGAAUUAGACAAAACCGAUUUGAAAGAUUUGGAUUAAGAUAGAUGCGAACUAGAUAAAACCUGUUAAGAACCAGAUGGAACCUGUUAAAAGGGCCGAGCCACAAAAAAAGUGGGAAUCAUUAUACCGAAGACCAUGGCUCGAUUCUUGCCGCAUUUUUAUGGGCCUGUUGGUCCGAUUUGCUGGCCCAACACAUUUACAUCCCUAGUGGCUACUAGAGAUGAUGGUCCUUUGACAGAUGGUCAUGCACAUGAUAUAAAACCAUAUACAGGUGAGAUGUACUCGAUCGACCUUUUUUUUCUCCUGAGAAAAAGUAAACGAGUUAUCAUUCUCGUUUAUUGUUUAAAAUAAAUUCAAGAAAAAAUAUAAAUUAAUUAGACUAAGUUUGGAAGUCGAUGAAGCUGGAGAUUGUUUAUAAAAAAAUUAUUUAUUUAUUGUAGAUUUGACUCGAGUAGUCUAGUGGGAGAUUCAAAAAUUUUGCUUUUCUUUAUAGAACGUGUGCGCGAAUAGAUUACUCUUUUUUUCUUUUUUUUUUUUGAGAAAUAGGUAGCACGCUAUUCGUUUCGUUUAUUUCAUUUAAAAAUAAACUUAGCUGAAAAUGUAAAUCAACUAGGAUUCGAACUUGCAAUCUCGGAUAUCAACCACCAAAUUUUUUGCCACUUGCUCUAGAAAUAAUCAGUUGCGAAUAGAUUACUUAGUUUAAAAAGAUACCUUGGAGUAACAAAGAUU
rnacentral:lncRNA from 1 species